GCUAAACCUAGCCCCAAACCCACUCCACCCU
rnacentral:piRNA from 1 species